ensembl:misc_RNA 7SK 7SK RNA
AAAUGUGAGGGGCAUCUGGCUGUGACCUCUGUCACCUCAGGGCUCUUUGACUGCUCUAGCUGGCUGUGCAGGGUCCCCUUCCUCCUUCACCACUCCACAUGCAUACUCCAGAGGUUGCACUUCCCCAAAGAGGAGGAGCAACCCAGAUAGAGGAGGACGUUUCUUCUAACAAGAAUAUGUGAGUAGAUGCUCUGUAAUAUUUCCCUUGCAACUGGGAUUUUAUUCACAAAGUCUUAGUCCAUACUUGUGUUUUCAAGAGUUCUACCUGUUCUUCCUUCCAGCAGAUUUAGUGUUUCU